rnacentral:lncRNA from 1 species
ACACGGAAAUGUAUUUUCCUGGCUGCAGCACCUGCCAUCUUGCCUCGGUAGGACUCAUUUUCAAAAACAGCAGCUUCUUGAAGCCCCAGAACGCAUUCCUGUGCUACGGAAGACGGAAGAGUAGCUCUCGGGGUCAGAAGGCGAAGGUCAGAAGGCCGAAUUGGCGGGAGAAUAGGUUUGGUGGUCCGAGAUCCGAGGCAACGGUGGCUCCUCGAGGUCCACGGUCCCGGGAGUAAUGUGAGGAUUCUUGCUUUUCUGGAAGCUAACACAUAGUCAGUGCCAAAGUAGUGACAGAAGAAAUCUUGAGAGGAAGCAUUUUUGUCUUGUACUUGAAACAGCUGCUGGGCCCACCAUGGCUCCUGUGAAGAUCAGCCAUGUGGUAUCAUUUUCUUCUCAGGAUCCCAAGUAUCCUGUAGAGAACUUGCUAAACCCAGAUAGUCCAAGGAGACCUUGGCUCGGCUGCCCUCAGGACAAGAGUGGGCAAUUGAAAGUAGAACUACAGCUGGAGAGGGCAGUGCCCACUGGCUACAUUGAUGUGGGUAACUGUGGCUGUGCGUUCCUGCAAAUUGAUGUGGGCCAUUCUUCCUGGCCCCUGGACAGACCUUUCAUAACCCUGCUCCCUGCAACCACGCUAAUGUCUCUAACUGAUUCAAAGCAGGGGAAGAACCGCUCCGGGGUCCGCAUGUUUAAAGAUGUUGAUUUCCUGGCUCCAGCCUCAGGAGAGUUAUGGGAUCGACUUCGCCUGACCUGCUCCCGACCCUUCACGCGUCAUCAGUCCUUUGGCCUGGCCUUUCUACGGGUGUGUUCUUCUCUGGACUCCUUAGAUGACUCUGUGGUGGGUCCCUCAGCCCUUCUGAGCUCUGUGCUGAACAAGCUUUUCUUAGUGCCUAAAGUGUCUGCAAGUGGAAAUCCAGAGGAAGACAGAGAGAAACUGAGUUCCUGACAAUGCAUUCACUAAAGAAAGUGACUUUUGAAGAUGUAGCUAUUGACUUCACCCAGGAAGAGUGGGCCAUGAUGGACACAUCCAAGAGAAAGCUGUACAGAGAUGUGAUGCUGGAAAAUAUCAGUCACCUGGUGUCCCUCGGGUACCAGAUAAGCAAAUCCUAUAUAAUUUUGCAGCUGGAGCAAGGAAAAGAGCUGUGGCAGGAAGGAAGAGAAUUUCUUCAAGACCAGAAUCCAGACAGGGAAAGUGCCCUUAAGAAAACACACAUGAUAUCCAUGCAUCCUAUCAUCAGAAAAGAUGCACCCACCAGUAUGACAAUGGAAAUCCCACUUCCAACUGGAUGUCUGGAUGAACUACUGAAAGCUGCUGAGUGUCCUGCAGCAGGUGAGCUGUGGCCAGAGCCCAAGGAUGAAGGGGGCUCCCUCACUCUGUUACUGUGAAGAGGAAGCCUGAGGUGUAGCAGGCCCAGGCCCCAGAAGUAUGGAAAAAAAUGAGGUAGGGAGGGAGGGGACCUCAGGAGAAGACUGAGGUCUACAGAAUCCCAGGGUCAAGGGGAUGGUGCAGUGUUCUGGCACUAUCCUUGAUGUUCCAAGAGGGGUGAGAAUCCAUCUCCUGAGUAAAAACUUCACAUGGGGUGAGGAGGGGAGAAGAGAACAGAAAGGAAGCAGGGAAGGCCAAGACAGCCACCAGCCUUACAGCAAUUUUAACCAGAAAUGGACACAGACCCUGGACCCCAUCACAGGAGUGCAGGCCUAGGACUGUCUCCAGGUGAUGCAUAGCUCCCUUGUCAGGUUAGUGGGUUCAGGGAUUGUGACGUCUGCAGGGGUGUGGAAGGCUGGGCAAUGGGAGCAGCUUACUGGGCUGGACCAGAAAUACUGAACUUCUUUUCCAUCAGUGAAAUCCACUUCUGGGUCAGAAAAAACUGUGAGUUCUAGAGGGGCAGGGCCUAGGAGGAGGUCAGGUCCUGAGCCUUCCUGGUUUGACCCCCUCCCACCCCCUGUGUUUCUGGGUCUGUCCUCACUUCCACCCAGCGGAUCCUGAGUCUCUUCCUUUGAGUCCCUGUGAGUGUGUUGUGUGCAGUGGGGCCGGGCUGCUUCAUCCACUGCACGUUAAAUGUUUCCAACACUUUCCGGCCAAAGCUUAGAGUUGUCAGACCACCGACUUUGAAUGUUGACCUGGUUCCUUGUGGAACAGAGUAAUAGCUAUUGAAGUUUAAAGUCACUUUCCUGCGUGGAUGGUGAAGAGGCAGGCUGUUCAGGCAUAACUGCCCUCAGGCCUGGAGGGCUGUGGAGGUCACCGUUGGCGGUGGGUGGAUCUGGAACCUCUGUGGCUCUAGACUUUCAACUAUUUCAUUUUUUCUUUUGUAGUUUUUGUUUGUUGCUUGCUUUUUUACAAUGGGAACUAGAAUGUAAGAUGCCAAACUCAGCCUGUGGGGAACAUGGAUUUUCACAACAGCAACCACAGAGCGUGGUUUCCAUUUCUAUUCCCUGUUCAUGUGGGAGGCAGAGAAGGAAAUCAGGUGCUCAGUUCCAGGGACAUCACAGGACUAGGACAUGUGCAGUGAGGGUGGAAGGCAGAGGCAUUGCUUUAGGAGAAUAAAAUUACUGCAUGCACACACAUAUGUAUGUAUAUGGAUGUAUGUACACAAACAUGCAUAUUUAUAGAUUCUGUUCUCUCUCUCUAUAUACAAUUUUCUUUAUUUCACACUUGAUAUGAUUUCUAAAUUUAAAUACCUUUGAGACAAACGUGAAUUGUGAUGGGAUUUAAAAAUGUCAGUGAAAAAUGGAAUUAACAAUAAAAAUAUAAAUAUAAACUUUAUUUCUCAAUUUAAGCUCUACUGAGGUCCAGACACUCCAUUAAGCGAUGAUCCCAGCCAUUCAUUCCAUUGCUAAAGAACUGAGGGUAAUGGGAAUUUAACCGUGUCAAUGCAGUCUUCUAUUAUUAACUAAAGAAAAAUGGGUGCCCUUUACAGUUAUUUUAAGAUUAGGGAAAAAAUGUCAGAAGAAACCAAAUCAGGACUGUAAUGUUGAUGCCUAAUAAUUUCCCAUGAAAACUCUUGCAAAAUUACCCAUGUUUGAUGAGAGGAAGGAACAGAAGUGUUGUUGUGGUGCAGAGGGACUCUCUAGUGAAGCUUUACAGGGCGCUUUUCUGCAAAAGUAUUUGCUAAUUUUCUCUAAGAACUCUCCUAGUAAGCAGAUGUUAUGGUGCUUUGAUCUUACAGAAAGUCAACCAGCAAAAUGCCUUGAGCAUCCCCAAAACCUCCAUGGCUUUUGCUUUUGAGAAGUUUGCUUUUGCUUUGACUGGACCACUUCUACCUCUUGGUAGCCAUUGCUUGAAUUGUGCUUUGUCUUCAGGAUCUUAUUGAUAAAGCCAGUUUCACUCCCUGUUAUAAUUCUUCAAAAUAAUGCUUCAGGAUCUGAUUCCGCUUGCUCAAAAUAGUUACUAAUAGCUCUGCUUUUGUCCACUGCUGAUCUAGGCACAAGGGUAUUUGGGACUCAUCAAAUGUAAAAUUUCUCAACUUUCACGUUAUAGUCAGUAUUGUGUAAGCUGAACCAAUUGAGAUGCCUGUGGUGUUGGCUAUAGUAUCUCUUGCUAAUUGUCAAUCCUCCUCAAUUAGGGCAUAGAAACGAUUUUUUUUCUCAAAAAUUGGUAUGGAUGUCCCUCCUCUGUUGACUUCAUCUUCAACAUUGUAUUAUCUCUUCUUAGAAUAAGGUAUCCAUUUGUAAAUGACUGAUUCUUCAGGUUAUUUUUCCCGUACACUUUUCAUAAAGAAUAAUUUAUUUCACCAUUUUUUGUACCCCAGCUUCACCGUAAAUUUGAUGUUUGUUCUUGCUUCAGGUUUGACAGAAUUCAUGUUGCUGCCAUAGAGGGGCUCUUUUCAAACUGAUGUCUUAAAUCUUGUUCAGAUAUGUUAAAACAGGGCCAGGCACGGUGGCUUACGCCUGUAAUCCCUGCAUUUUGGAAUUUUAGACAAAAUAAAGUUUUUUAAAAUUUUA